CCUAAUACAUGACAAGUCGAACGGUCUUUCUAUGGAAGCUUGCUCCACGUGGGAAGAUAGUGGCGGAACGGGUGAAGUAACACGGUGGGUAACCUGCCCAUAAGAGGGGGGAUAACAUCCGGAAACGGGUGCUAAUACCGCAUAGUUUUCUUGAUCGCAUGAUUGAGAAAGGAAAGACGGCCUUUGUGCUGUCGCUUAUGGAUGGACCCGCGGCGUAUUAGUUAGUUGGUGAGGUAACGGCUCACCAAGACGAUGAUACGUAGCCGACCUGAGAGGGUGAUCGGCCACAUUGGGACUGAGACACGGCCCAAACUCCUACGGGAGGCAGCAGUAGGGAAUCUUCCGCAAUGGACGAAAGUCUGACGGAGCAACGCCGCGUGAGUGAAGAAGGUUUUCGGAAUCGUAAAACUCUGUUGUCAGAGAAGAACAAGCUGGAGAGUAACUGCUCCAGCCUUGACGGUAUCUGACCAGAAAGCCACGGCUAACUACGUGCCAGCAGCCGC
rnacentral:rRNA from 1 species